AUUGAACGCUGGCGGCAUGCUUUACACAUGCAAGUCGAACGGCAGCGGGGUAGUGCUUGCACUACUGCCGGCGAGUGGCGAACGGGUGAGUAAUAUAUCGGAACGUACCGAGUAAUGGGGGAUAACCAAUCGAAAGAUUGGCUAAUACCGCAUACGUCCUGAGGGAGAAAGCGGGGGAUCGCAAGACCUCGCGUUAUUCGAGCGGCCGAUAACUGAUUAGCUAGUUGGUGGGGUAAAGGCCUACCAAGGCGACGAUCAGUAGCGGGUCUGAGAGGACGAUUCGGCACCCUGGGGCUGGGGCCCGGCCCCGACUUCCAAGGGAAGGCGCAGGGGGGAAAUUUGGACAAAUGGGGGAAACCUUAUCCCGGCAAGGCGGGGGGAAUAAAGAAGGCUUCCGGUUUGUAAAUUCCUUUGGUUGGGAAGAAAAGGGAAAGGCCAAUAACCCUUUUUGCUGACGGUACCUAAAGAAUAAGCACCGGCUAACUACGUG
rnacentral:rRNA from 1 species